rnacentral:rRNA from 1 species
UACGAAGGGGGCAAGCGUUGUUCGGAAUUACUGGGCGUAAAGCGCGCGUAGGCGGCUUUGUAAGUUAGAGGUGAAAGCCCGGAGCUCAACUCCGGAAUUGCCUUUAAGACUGCAUCGCUAGAAUCAUGGAGAGGUUAGUGGAAUUCCGAGUGUAGAGGUGAAAUUCGUAGAUAUUCGGAAGAACACCAGUGGCGAAGGCGACUAACUGGACAUGUAUUGACGCUGAGGUGCGAAAGCGUGGGGAGCAAACAGG